CUUACACACACACACACACACACACACACACACACACACACACACACACACACAUCGUCAUCUACUGAUUCAGGGUCUGGUCCAGCAGAAGGCUUCUUGUGGUUUCUCAAGUCACAGACAGAGGAACAAAUGGCAAAUACCACUUGGAGCAGGGCCCCCUCCUUUGGAAUGGCUUUCCUGUCCCCGAGUGGAGGAAAAUUGCAGCUCUCUCCAUGGUGAACGGAGAUGACAGAGAAUCACUGGGAAGUCUCAGGGACUGUCUGCCAUGCGAAGCAAUUAGCUACGUCUCGUGGAAAGAGUCAUAACAUGACAAGACAGAAGCCCUGGUAAUUAGGAGGUUCCUCAUUAUCACUCAUCUUUUGAACAGUACAGACUGAGAAGCAAUUGCCAGUUGCAAAUUGGUCAAGCUGCCAAUUGUCCCAGCAUUCCUGAAGCCUGUCCUUUGGAUCAGGAAGAGAAGAGAACAAAGCUGCAGAGUUGUGAGGGUCCCUCUCUUGAAUACACUGAACCUGGGGGCUCAAGCCAAAUAAACAAGCCAUCUUAAGAUCUGGAGCCGAAGUUCUGCUUCGAAGUCUGAGCUCUGAGAGUUUUUAGUCACCAGUCUCCAUAGAAGAGCCUAAAUUUCCAAGUUACAUUAUUCAUGUCUGUUUAAUACAUAAAUCACUCAACAUGCUAUAACUGAAGCAGCAAAGGCAACUCUGUUCUUUUUGUUCUGUCUUUCACAUGUGUGUGUGGUGUGAAUGCAUGGAUAAUAUAUGUAUAUUUGGAUGAAUGUGGGUGCACUGUGUGUGAGUGAAUUAGUCAAGGGUCUCUAAAUGAUUGGAGAGAGAGGAAAAGAGAGGGGGGAGGAGAAAGGAGAUAAAGAGGAAGAGGAGAAAAGAGAUUGAUGAGCCUGGCUUACUGGCUGUGGCUUGGCCAGUAGUGAGCAUCUCAUGAUGGAAAGACCAAGAAUUCAACAAUUCUCCAGUCCAGGAGAAAGGAUGUUUCUGCAGUUCUAACCUGAGGCUGGAGUCCUGGAGGACUACUGGAGAGUUGCUGAUUGUCGGUCUGUGUUGGGAUCCUGAAGAAGAAAGUCAGCAUUAACUCAGUGAAACCAAGUCUGUGCUGGAAUGCCGAGGAAAAGGAAAAUGGUGGGAACAGUGGUGAGAUGAAGCCUUAUGUGGUGGGCUGUGAAGUCAGGGCACAUCUCCGAAACAAAUGAGCCACAAAUCACCGAUCUGUGUAAAAUAUGAUGCUUAGAGGAGGUUUGAAGAUGGAUGGCAAAUCAUCUACUCCACCCUUAAUGGCCUGUGCUGUGGAAGAUACUGCUAACUCAGCACAGCCAUGCUUCCUACAACUCAUAAUGUCCAUCAAGGUCACAAAGCUGGUCCAGUAUCAUGUUGCCAGGAGUGGUCGUCACCAAAUCCCGGCUCUAGUGAUCUGUCCGAGGACUUGGCAGAAGAGCUAUCCUUGUCAUCAUAUUUCCAUAUUGAAGUCCAAAUGACUCUGCUAUUGAUUAUUAAAUAGCACCACGUGCUGUAUUUUAAAACAAAACUAAUGUAAAAACAAGGGAAGG
ensembl:lncRNA